rnacentral:rRNA from 1 species
AAUCAACGCUGGCGGCGUGCCUAACACAUGCAAGUCGAACGAGAAAGGGUGGGUGUAGCAAUACAUUUGCCUGAGUAAAGUGGCGACCGGGUGAGUAACACGUGGCCAACCUACCCUCGAGCGGGGGAUAACCUGGGGAAACUCGGGCUAAUACCGCAUAACGUCCCGAUGGCACAAGCCAAUGGGACCAAAGGCCUGCAAGGGUCACUCGGGGGAGGGGGCUGCGGCCGAUUAGCUAGA